rnacentral:lncRNA from 1 species
CCGUUUCUUGGUAACAGGAAACCUUCACAGUAGACGGUACGUCAAUAGCCCAGUAGCAUGAGAAUUGAGUCUACGACAACCAUGUUACAAAACUGCUGAGAUUUCCUCAGCAUUAGCUCUUUGGUCUCUCCAUAUUGGAAUGGAGCUAAAAGGCUUUUCAGGAUCAGGCCAUCGUACUCCGACCCAUCCAAGAUACACGCGACCACGAGAUUCACAAACCAUGACAUGCAACAUACCAUGCAUCUGUAUAAAACUGUAAAGGUAGAUAGUAUCUACAAGACGCCGUAAUAAACACGGGGCCUGUUUGGCUGUCAAACAUUACAGCGCACAUAUUCACACGCUGUGUACACUCUUCCACAACUCCAUGGCAGGCGUAGCCACGGCUCCCGCAUAUCCAAUAUUUCAGUUCUGCAGCAGCCAAGAUGAGACCUGCCACUAGUGUAGUCCUACACGUCUGUAUCACCCGAUGCCCGCAUUCCUCUCAUUCCUUGAUCACACGCCGUUCAUUACUCCCCGCACAGCUCAACGAGCCUCAGAUGCCAUCUAAGACAUCACGGAAGGUUUUACAAGUAAUUGCAGUAAAGCCAAGGUUUCUGAAAGGAUUUAGCGCGAGUGCCACUCACGCAUCAGUGUUUGGUGUGGCGCGCUAAGCGCGUUUUAGCGGUAUUUAUCGUACGAGCUACGCAACCAUAGGUUUAGGCAUUGUCAGUGCCCUGGACCGGCACUUGGCGAGUUCUUCAUCAUGGUCAGUACUGAUUCCACUGCAGCUCGCCGGGCUAGGGCCACCCGCGACCUGGUACACGACAGCCCGCGCUCCGGUGCGCGCCUCGGCUUUUCCCCCUCCUCUCCCCCCUCCUCCUCCACUGAAGCAGUACCCUCUCUCUCUCUCUCUCUCUCUCUGCUUGCAGGCACCACCAGCUGGCUUCACCAACUGAUGUAACAGUUAAUCGCUCGUUGUCUUGUCUAUUAUGCGAACGGUACGCCAACUAGGCUCGAAAACCUCAGGUACUAUCAGGAAGUGAAACCCUAGGGGGGGACAGCGUCGGAUGCAGCGCUGCUCGAGGACCCCCUGAGGAGCUGCCGCCGCCGCUGUCGCCGCCGCAGGUCCCAGGGGUCCCGCUCAACUUCCUUCUUCCUUGGCCGAUUGCGGUGGAACUUACUCCGAUUCACAGACCAGGAGGGCAUGCGGUUGAAGGAGAUCUUGGCGUCGGUGUCCUCCUUCAG